GGGGGCGACAGGUUUCGACAGGGUAACGAGGUCGGAUAGUGCAAGCAGUCUACGGUAACGAAUGACUUUAAAAUUGUUAUAAAAACUAUAAUUGCCAAUAACAAUUAUUACGACAACGCCGCUCUAGCGGCUUAGUCGUCUGGGCCUCUGACAGCCUUGUAACCCAAUGUUGGAUAACAGGUAGAUCUCCUGCGAAAAUAAAAAAUCAAAAUGGAUACCCUGUUUGUAGCAGGUGGGCUUCCAAGGCUACAUAGGAAAAGGGAUUUUUGUGGCUACCUUGCUGAUUUGGGAAUAAAUCAGAUAAGCUUGUGAAUGACUAGAAGAAUGAGUUAUUUUGGACGCGCGUUCGAUUCGCGCCGCCUCCACCA
rnacentral:tmRNA from 1 species